GACGAACGCUGGCGGCGUGCCUAAUACAUGCAAGUAGAACGCUGAAGAGAGGAGCUUGCUCUUCUUGGAUGAGUUGCGAACGGGUGAGUAACGCGUAGGUAACCUGCCUUGUAGCGGGGGAUAACUAUUUGAAACGAUAGCUAAUACCGCAUAACAAUGGAUGACACAUGUCAUUUAUUUGAAAGGGGCAAUUGCUCCACUACAAGAUGGACCUGCGUUGUAUUAGCUAGUAGGUGAGGUAAUGGCUCACCUAGGCGACGAUACAUAGCCGACCUGAGAGGGUGAUCGGCCACACUGGGACUGAGACACGGCCCAGACUCCUACGGGAGGCAGCAGUAGGGAAUCUUCGGCAAUGGGGGCAACCAUGACCGAGCAACGCCGCGUGAGUGAAGAAGGUUUUCGGAUCGUAAAGCUCUGUUGUAAGUCAAGAACGGGUGUGAGAGUGGAAAGUUCACACUGUGACGGUAGCUUACCAGAAAGAGACGGCUAACUACGUG
rnacentral:rRNA from 1 species